rnacentral:lncRNA from 1 species
UUCCAAUAAAACAACAUUUCCAAAUAAAGUGAAUAGCAACAACUUGAAAUUACAUUCAACAAUAUUUCUAACAAAUAAAUGGCCUCAGACAUUACAUAUAGAAUUCCUAGACACUCCAAAAUAUGCAUGUACUCAGAAUAGCUACGCCUUGGCUGAUAGCAAAUGAGUUGGGUAAAAGUUCCCUCAAAUGCUCGCAAAAUCUAAACCCGUAAACAAGUACCAGAUUUCAAAACAAAGAUUCAUCUACCAUGUACAGAAAAUAUCAUAACUAAAAUACAUCAACAAGAUACAAAAAUGUAAUUGAUACUGCAUUCUCCAUUAUAACCAACAAUCAGCUGGUCCAUUACUUCUUUGGCUGUGAAAUCACAAAAGUAAUGCGAGUGAGCUACACUGAAAAUCAACAUUACAUGAAUUACAUCUACUGUUAUACAGAUAAUCAUUCUGACAUUGAAAACUUUCAAAAUGCACAAAAUGGACCUAGAUGAACAUUUUUGACAUCAUUCAAUUGUACCGAACAAAAUUCAGCAAUGUUCAGCAAAAGUUGAUCCAUGAGAACCGCCAAGCAUAAAUAUUUCUUGAUUGGAUCAAACAAUUCAUGGGUUGUGCUCGCCAAAAAAUGGGACUGUGACAGGGCAGCCUACCUUUUUUGCAAAUAUCAGACUGAGACUGAGUUCUCGUGCAAGACCACAUACUCUCGACUGCAAAACAAAUUAAAGUGGAAUCUGUUC